AACGCACAUUGCGCCCGCCAGCAUUCUGGCGGGCAUGCCUGUUCGAGCGUCAUUUCGACCCCUCAAGCCCUCCGGCUUGGUGUUGGGGCCUUCUGCAGCGCCUGCUGCAGGCCCCGAAAUACAGUGGCGGGCCCGACGAGACCCCGAGCGCAGUACUUGCUUCUCGCUUAGGGCGUCGCGACGGGCGACCGGCCGUAAAACCCCACAGGUUGCCCCCCCGGGCCCUGUGAUACCCACCAAGGUUGACCUCGGAUCAGGUAGGAAUACCCGCUGAACUUAA
rnacentral:misc_RNA from 1 species